AUUCCUACAAGCAAUAACUCUCUGAACGUACUUCUUACACACAAUUGGUGCCCCUAUAAAAGAAAGGGUGAUGCGAAAUAUAUAAGCACAUAAAUUAAACCCUCUUUUUAUCAAUUGUAGCAAAGUAUGUAAGUAGGGAUCGUUCUAGGCCGGGGAUUAGGAGGGAUUGCUAAAUCAUUUGAAAACUGACUCAAAACGUAAAAACAAAGUUUAAAACACUAAACUAGACUCAAAGAAUGCAAAACUAAACUCUAAAACACUAAAACAAACCAAAAGACUCAAAACAGCACAGAAACACUCCAAACUGCCUUAAAAACACAAUCUGGGCAGUUUUGAACACCAAACACAAAUUUGGACGAAAAUAGGUUAGAACUUGACUCAAGACACUUAAAAACACAA
rnacentral:lncRNA from 1 species